AUUGAACGCUGGCGGCAGGCCUAACACAUGCAAGUCGAGCGAGCGGCGGACGGGUGAGUAAUGUCUGGGAAACUGCCUGAUGGAGGGGGAUAACUGCUGGAAACGGUAGCUAAUGCCGCAUACCAUACACUGUGCCCGGAUGGGGUUAGCUAGUAGGUGGGGUAACGGCGCACCUAGGCGACGAUCCCUAGCUGGUCUGAGAGGAUGACCAGCCACACUGGAACUGAGACACGGUCCAGACUCCUACGGGAGGCAGCAGUGGGGAAUAUGGCACAAUGGGCGAAAGCCUGAUGCAGCCAUGCCGCGUGUGUGAAGAAGGCCUUCGGGUUGUAAAGCACUUUCAGCGGGGAGGCGUUACCCGCAGAAGAAGCACCGGCUAACUCCGUGCCAGCAGCCGCGGUAAUUC
rnacentral:rRNA from 1 species